rnacentral:lncRNA from 1 species
AGGAAAGGGUCAGGAAGGAGUACAAUGUCCCUGUUUGGUGUGGGGAGUUUUGUGAGACCGGAAAAGUCUUAUGGGCUGCAGGUUUCGGUUUGGGACAGUGCUGCCACUGCAUGUGUCUGCUGCAGUGUGAUACCGUAGGAAAUGUUCCUUUGCUGAAAACUGAGUAAAAGGACUAAGCUUUUGGAAAAGGAGGUUCAUGUGGAGUCACUUCUGGGGAGCUGCAGUGACAUCAUGGCUCUUUAGAUGAGAGAAGAACAGAAGAACUUAGAGUGUAUUCAAAACUGUGGCA